GACCUUUUGGUACUUGUCCGGUGGUAGC
rnacentral:sRNA from 1 species